rfam:Danio rerio chromosome 11, GRCz11 reference primary assembly.
CUUGUCCUCAUUUGCAAGUUGCUUUGGAUAAAAGCGUCUGCUAAAUGACUAAAU